UGCAAACUGCGAAUACCGGAGAAUGUUAUCACGGGAGACACACGGCGGGUGCUAACGUCCGUCGUGAAGAGGGAAACAACCCAGACCGCCAGCUAAGGUCCCAAAGUCAUGGUUAAGUGGGAAACGAUGUGGGAAGGCCCAGACAGCCAGGAUGUUGGCUUAGAAGCAGCCAUCAUUUAAAGAAAGCGUAAUAGCUCACUGGUCGAGUCGGCCUGCGCGGAAGAUGUAACGGGG
rnacentral:rRNA from 1 species